CCUUUCCCCAGUAAUUAGAUACCGUUUUUUCAUUAUUGGAACAAUUUAAUACCAUGUACUUGAUUACCAUUGAUCAAUAAUAUUACUAUUUAUUUUAUAAAUUAUUACUAUGAUAUAGUAAAUUGGAAAAUUCCCUUAAUAUUACUAGUGACUAUGAUAAACCAGAUAAAUUUAUCGCUACUUAUUACUUAAUUGUUUACCAUUCAUUCAUGUGAACUAGGGACGGGUGUGCCUCUGUUA